rnacentral:misc_RNA from 1 species
UCCGGGUUUCGCCCGGCAGUCUCCCUAGAACAUUCAACUAAGGACAAGGGUUGCGCUCGUUGCGGGACUUAACCCAACAUCUCACGACACGAGCUGACGACAGCCAUGCAGCACCUGUGUUCUGAUUCCCGAAGGCACUCCUCGAUCUCUCAAGGAUUCCAGACAUGUCAAGGCCAGGUAAGGUUCUUCGCGUUGCAUCGAAUUAAACCACAUACUCCACCGCUUGUGCGGGCCCCCGUCAAUUCCUUUGAGUUUCAGUCUUGCGACCGUACUCCCCAGGCGGCGAACUUAACGCGUUAGCUUCGACACUGAUCUCCGAGUUGAGACCAACAUCCAGUUCGCAUCGUUUAGGGCGUGGACUAC